rnacentral:rRNA from 1 species
UACGUAGGUGGCGAGCGUUGUCCGGAUUUACUGGGCGUAAAGGAUGCGUAGGUGGAUAUUUAAGUGAGAUGUGAAAUACCCGGGCUUAACUUGGGUGCUGCAUUUCAAACUGGGUAUCUAGAGUGCAGGAGAGGUAAGUGGAAUUCCUAGUGUAGCGGUGAAAUGCGUAGAGAUUAGGAAGAACACCAGUGGCGAAGGCGACUUACUGGACUGUAACUGACACUGAGGCAUGAAAGCGUGGGGAGCAAACAGG